rnacentral:rRNA from 1 species
AGGGUGUAAACGCUGCAGACUUGGUGUUGGGAACCCUUCGGGGGUGCUCAGUGCCGGAGAGAAGUUGUUAAGUCUGCUACUUGGGGAGUACGUCCGCAAGGAUGAACUUAAAGGAAUUGGCGGGGGAGCACCGCAACGGGAGGAGCGUGCGGUUUAAUUGGAUUCAACGCCGAAAAGCUCACCAGCAGCGACUGUUACAUGAAAGUCAGGUUGAUGACCUUACUAGAUUUUCAGAGAGGUGGUGCAUGGCGUCAGUGACU